UCGAUACAUCACUUCACAGGAAGUCAGGAGUAGGGAGCAGUGAACACUUGUGUAGGGACCCUGUCGAUUGGAACGCACCUGUGUUUCUCAUUCACCUCAGUAUACGGCAACGGAAACAACGUUCCAGUGAAGUAGCAUAGGACCAACAAAGGAAAAAACACAAAGGCUACCAUGACAGCUGGAAAAAUAACGGUGGAGAUGCCACGACAAAUGCAAAAUGGACUGGCAAUAUUAAGGGUAGGAAUAUCUCAAAUUACCAGCUCAACUCCAACGGUCAGCAUGCCUUGGACUUCUCCAUUAAAAGAAACAUCUCACCCCUGCCACAAGGUUGUUUGUGAAGACAACUGUGGUUUAUUUUCACAGAAACCUGACCCUGCAAAAGUAAAGAAAGAGUAAACCAUGCUUCAUCAGUCCUGGAUUUAGUGUUUUAAAAGAGCCACUCCAAAGUGAAUCAGUUGAACUGUCUAAUAAACAGUC